UACGGAGGGGGCGAGCGUUAUUCGGAAUUAUUGGGCGUAAAGGGCGCGUAGGCGGCGCGGUAAGUCAAAGGUGAAAUCCCUCGGCUCAACUGAGGAACUGCCUUUGAGACUGCCGGGCUCGAGGCCGGGAGGGGGUAGCGGAAUUCCCAGUGUAGCGGUGAAAUGCGUAGAUAUUGGGAGGAACACCAGUGGCGAAGGCGGCUACCUGGACCGGUUCUGACGCUGAUGCGCGAAAGCGUGGGGAGCAAACAGG
rnacentral:rRNA from 1 species